rnacentral:rRNA from 1 species
CCGCGGUAAUACAGAGGGUGCAAGCGUUGUUCGGAAUUACUGGGCGUAAAGCGCGUGUAGGCGGUUGUUCAAGUCUUGUGUGAAAGCCCUGGGCUCAACCCAGGAAGUGCGCAAGAUACUGGAUAGCUGGAGUGUCGGAGAGGAGGGCGGAAUACCCGGUGUAGAGGUGAAAUUCGUAGAUAUCGGGUGGAACACCUGUGGCGAAGGCGGCCCUCUGGACGAUAACUGACGCUGAGACGCGAAAGCAUGG